CAGCACCAUGCCUAGAUUGCUCUAUUCGAUCACACUGUCAUGAUUUGAUACCAUUCCCUAUCAAUUUGAACCUGACUCUGAUUUUCAAUUAUCAUGUCUGCAUCAAUUUGAACUUAUGGAUACCCUAAAAUACUUGGAUUAUCUUACUCAUUUAACCACUCUUGUUAAUCCAAGUAGCUGACUCUCCUUAUUAGAGCAGUUAAACCCGAACCCAAACCUAAACUUUCUUUCAAGCCUUAUAUCACUUGUGAGUGUUUGGGAGGUCUUAUUCCGAUUAAGCUUGGUAGAAAGUUUUAGGUUCGUAACGACUAGAUAGGACUAGAUAGGAGUAGGUGGGCGCUUAUAUUGUGGAUUGGGUUGUGUCUAAAAGAAACAAAAAAACGGUGGAUUCAUUGAUAAGAAAAGGUCAAAGACUCUAGGUGAAGUAGGGUAAAGAAGCAGAAAAAAUCUAGUAAAGAUUUUGGGAUUUGUAAAGAAAAGAAAAGGGUUCUUAUUAGCUAAUGAAGAAGGGCAAAAGCCCUUGGUUUUAAAAAUUUAAAACAGGAACCUUAGUUGUUAAAGAAAUCCAAAUCCGCUAGAUGUAUCAAAGUGUUGAGAAAGCUUCUCCUAAAGUUAAGAGAAAAGAAAAAAAUGAUUAGAAAAAGGGUUUAAAAGACUCAUGAAUGCAAAGGGUAGAGUUAAGUUCUUAAUUUGAGACUGGAGAUGGGAUUACCAUUAGAGCUUCAUUGGUUAUACUCUGGGUAGAUGGGAUCUUAUCUUUGUAUGCAUAGCUUGGGACUUACCUUUAGCAUUCUACUAAAGCUUAAUCAGUUUUGAGAGAUCCCUGUUACUGCAGCGUAUUAUGUAAAGGACCAUCUUUGUCUCUUGACCUAUACCUUAGCCAAAUGAGUUCAUUGCUGAUGCAUUUCUUGAUUCACGUUCCAUAACUAAUGAAUGUUAAAGGGAUUGGUAGAUUUGAAAACAUGUGUAGGUCGAGCAUAAGAGUCGGAUUGAUUAAUAACAAGGCAUGGCUAAUGUUUUUGAGUAGGAUUCGAUCAUAUCGUAGCUUAGAACUACCAACUUGGACAUCGAUUUCAUCUGAUUUAUCUGGUGCUUUGGCUCUGAGUCCCUGCUUUUAAACCUCACCUCCAGCUUGUUCUUUAUUGUUUGCUUAGCUUGUUCUUUAUUGUUUGCUUGAGGGCAAGCAAAGACUAAGUUUGGGGGAGUUGGUAAGUGUGCAUGUUUUGAGCAUCCAUUUGUCAUCACUUUAGCAUCAUAUCUCCACUGUUUUAUACCAUCUCUCAUCAUUUGUCAUCACUUUGAAUGUUAGGAUAGUUUUGCAUGCAUGUUGCAUAUUUGUGUUGUUUUCAGGUAAUUUGGAGUUGUUGACGAGCUAAUUGGAAGAAGUGGACUUGAUCAUAUCAAUAUACUCGACCCCUAGGUCGAGUACCGCCAUCCUGGACUUUCUGAAGUACCCGGUCACGGCCUCCGCAUAACAUCACUCGACCGCAACACUCUGGAUAACCACUCGAGUAGAUGGCAUCACCACUUCUCACCACUACUCGACCCCCUGGUCGAGUAGACAACCUCAUCACUUCACAUCACCACUAGACCCUCUGGUCGAGUACCACCAUCACCUUCACUCGAUCACUCACUAGAUUACAUGGCCGAGUCCCGUCAUCAUCGCACACUCGACCAAUCACUCUACCACCAAGUCGAGUACCACCAUCAUCCACCACUCGACAUCAUACUCGACUCCCAGCUUCAGAGUCUUCUCCAUUCCGCACUCAACCAGACACUUGAGCACAAGGAAGAGAAGAAGACUCCAGCUUACCACUUGACCAAUCACUCGACCAUCAGGGUCGAGUGCCGUUCUUAAAUCCGUCCCAAUACUGUGUCGUUUUGAAUAUUAGGAUUUCAGAAUAUUUCGCUAUAAGU
rnacentral:sRNA from 1 species